UCGUAGUUCAAUGGAUAGAGCACCAGCCUCCGAAGCUGGUAAUAUGGGUUCGACUCCCGUCGAG
rnacentral:tRNA from 1 species